rnacentral:rRNA from 1 species
AGAGUUUGAUCCUGGCUCAGGACUAACGCUGGCGGCGUGCUUAACACAUGCAAGUCGAACGGUGAAGUCCCUUCGGGGGCGGAUCAGUGGCGAACGGGUGAGUAACACGUGGGCAAUCUGCCCCUCACUGUGGGAUAACUCCGGGAAACCGGGGCUAAUACCGCAUAUGAAGCCUGGCGGCAUCGCCGGGUUUGGAAAGUUUUUCGGUGAGGGAUGAGCCCGCGGCCUAUCAGCUUGUUGGUGAGGUAAUGGCUCACCAAGGCGACGACGGGUAGCCGGCCUGAGAGGGCGACCGGCCACACUGGGACUGAGACACGGCCCAGACUCCUACGGGAGGCAGCAGUGGGGAAUAUUGGGCAAUGGGCGAAAGCCUGACCCAGCGACGCCGCGUGCGGGAUGAAGGCCUUCGGGUUGUAAACCGC